GACGAACGCUGGCGGCGUGCUUAACACAUGCAAGUCGAACGAAAAGAGGGAAAGAGCUUGCUCUUUCCGGAAUUGAGUGGCAAACGGGUGAGUAACACGUAAACAACCUGCCUUCAGGAUGGGGACAACAGACGGAAACGACUGCUAAUACCGAAUAAGUUCCAAGAGCCGCAUGGCCCAUGGAAGAAAAGGUGGCCUCUACCUGUAAGCUAUCGCCUGAAGAGGGGUUUGCGUCUGAUUAGCUGGUUGGAGGGGUAACGGCCCACCAAGGCGACGAUCAGUAGCCGGUCUGAGAGGAUGAGCGGCCACACUGGAACUGAGACACGGUCCAGACUCCUACGGGAGGCAGCAGUGGGGAAUCUUCCGCAAUGGGCGAAAGCCUGACGGAGCAACGCCGCGUGAGGGAUGACGGCCUUCGGGUUGUAAAACUCUGUGAUCCGGGACGAAAAGGCAGAGUGCGAAGAACAAACUGCAUUGACGGUACCGGAAAAGCAAGCCACGGCUAACUACGUG
rnacentral:rRNA from 1 species